CCCUUAAAUCCUUCUAAAGAGCACAUGUCUCAGCAAUGUCCCAUUGUGACCAAAGCAAUAAUGUGUCCUUCCAUGAUUCUUUGACUUCAUCCUUCACGAAGGUCCUGGGACAGCUGCAUGGCCACACCAUCUCCAGCUCCCACCAUCUCCUCCAGGUCCCCCACUGUCCUCUAGCCAAGUUCAUCACUUCUCCUCAAAGCAAGGAUGGCCACCAAUGCUUCCCUCGCAUCUGCAGUUUCUUUUUUUCCCAUUUUGCAGAACUGAAUCUUGAGUAACAUCCUUGUAUGAUGGAUAUAUAGCAGAGCAAGACUAUAAUACCAGCCCAGAUAUAGCAGGGAUUAAGAUGUCAUGAAAAUGGGAAUCUCUGCCUUCUUGACAAGAGCACUUCAAAGUGGCAGAUACAAUGUCUGGGAAAAAAACCUGGAGAACUGGGCAGGAGAAAAUCAGAUACUGUUAAAGUUCUGAAAUACUUCCAAGUAUUCAACCAGAUCCAGUCCAGGGAUGAUGACGGAAUUUUCUUCAUGCAUGAACUUGGAGAAAACCACCUACUAUAAAAAUACAGCAAAACUUCACUGCACUGCAGAGGGAGUUUUUGAGCUGGCACAUCUAACACUUUCAUGAGUUUCUGUUGUGCAGAUAGCUUUGGGGAACUGCUUACAUGACCCACUGCCAAAUCAGCAUCAGUGAAGUAUCUGCAGAAAUAAAGAAGUCAGCUAGAUACGUGUAACAACACUUGCUGCUCUCCUUGUUGCUCGAAUCCUUAAGGCUGUUGUGAUCUGGAUAACCCAAGCACAAAUUUCUGCCAAAAUAUUACAAAGGGUUUCUGAUUAAGUAGGUGUUACAGGAGAGCAGGCCCUACUGCCUCCCAAAACCACCAGCAGAAAUCAACAUGUACCUCAGAAAUAAAUAUAAACAUAAUGGAAUUUAA